rnacentral:rRNA from 1 species
CCUACGGGUGGCAGCAGUGGGGGAUAUUGCACAAUGGGGGGAACCCUGAUGCAGCGACGCCGCGUGGGUGAAGGCGCGUUUCUGCGCGGAAAGCCCUAUCUGCAGGGAAGAAGAUGACGGUACCUGACCAUGAAGCCCCGUCUAACUACGUGCCGGCAGCCGCGGUAAUACGUAGGGGGCAAGCGUUAUCCGGAUUAACUGGGUGUAAAGGGGGCGCAGACGGCAAUGCAAGCCAGGAGUGAAAGCCCGGGGCUCAACCCCGGGACUGCUCUUGAAACUGGAUGGCUGGAGUACAGGCGCGGCAGGCGGAAUGCCUAGUGUAGCGGUGAAAUGCUUAGAUAUUAGGCGGAACACCGGUGGCGAAGGCAGCCUGCUGAACUGUGACUGACGUUGAGGCACGAAGGCGUGGGGAGCAAACAGGAUUAGAUACCCGUGUAGUC